GUACACUCCUACGGGAGGCAGCAGUGGGGAAUAUUGCACAAUGGGCGCAAGCCUGAUGCAGCCAUGCCGCGUGUAUGAAGAAGGCCUUCGGGUUGUAAAGUACUUUCAGCGGGGAGGAAGGCAAUACGGUUAAUAACCGUGUUGAUUGACGUUACCCGCAGAAGAAGCACCGGCUAACUCCGUGCCAGCAGCCGCGGUAAUACGGAGGGUGCAAGCGUUAAUCGGAAUUACUGGGCGUAAAGCGCACGCAGGCGGUCUGUCAAGUCGGAUGUGAAAUCCCCGGGCUCAACCUGGGAACUGCAUUCGAAACUGGCAGGCUUGAGUCUUGUAGAGGGGGGUAGAAUUCCAGGUGUAGCGGUGAAAUGCGUAGAGAUCUGGAGGAAUACCGGUGGCGAAGGCGGCCCCCUGGACAAAGACUGACGCUCAGGUGCGAAAGCGUGGGGAGCAAACAGGAUUAGAUACCCCGGUAGUCCCAUGAU
rnacentral:rRNA from 1 species